GGUUCCACGGGAACAGCAGCUGAACAUGGGCCAGUCGGUCCUGAGAGAUGGGCGAGCGCCGGUCCGAAGGGACGGCCGAUGGCCUCCGUGGCCCUCAGCCGAUGGAAAGGGAGUGGGGUUCAGAUCCCCGAACCUGGAGUGGGGUGAUGGGCGCCGAUCCCGGAGAAGCCGCGGGAGCCCCGGGAGGUGCUCUUCUCUUUGUGAAGGGCGGGGCGCCCUGGAACGGGCUCCCGAGAGAGGGCCCGCGCCUCGGCAGCGAAGCCGUCCCCGCGGCCCCCUGAGCUCUCGCUGGCCCUUGAGAAUCCGGGGACAGGGUGUAAACCUGGCGCUGGGCGCAC
rnacentral:ncRNA from 1 species